GCUGCAGGCUGCAGGCUGCAGGCUGCAGGCGAUCAGGAUGCCGUUUUUUCCUGAAGCCUGCGGCCUGUAGCCUCGAGC
rnacentral:misc_RNA from 1 species